rnacentral:lncRNA from 1 species
CACAGUGCUAGGCAUGGAGGGGAAGCUGCAAAGUUAGAUGAGCUUAUAAGCAGAAUUUAGUCAGAGAGACCCAUACCUAACUCUAAUGCUAACCACGUGUUAAAACACUUUGGAGAAUUUCAGGUCUUUUAUCUUUUUCUUCAAAAACUGAAGAUGUGGCAGUUAGUUUUGGGGCUGGAAAUUUGAGCAGAGAGAAUGGCAGAGUCUUUUCAGGAGCCAGAAAUGCAUGUGAGGACCAAGAACUUCUAACAGUAGAGGAACUCUGGCUGGGGUAGUUGAGGGGGAGGAGAAAUGAGGAUCAAGGGGGCAUACAGUGCAUGAAAACAAAAGGUGAGGCCCAAGAUCAGCCAAAGUGAGUAAACCACGGUUACCAUGGCUACUCUUCAGUGGAGACGGAAGGAAGCCCUGUAUCCUCCCCUUCCAACCACACUACGCUGUUCCACUCCCCAUCUCCAUCUCCUGUACCCCAGACACACUCAGGCAAGCACAGCACCACCCUGGAUGACUCUGCGGAAUGCCUCUCAGAGACACGGAACUAGAAACCUAGGGGAAGAGGGACAUCAAGGCUUUUGCCUCACAAGCUGACUCUGGAACAAAGAGCCAGGCUGAGGGGCUGGAAGAAGAAACUUCCAGCAGAGCCACCCAGAUAUGCUUCCCCCACCCUCUAGACCUUCCACACCAACCAGUGUCCAGUCAGUCCACAGAGCAUCCUCCUGGGCUGUGGUGACUGAAGUUGAAGGGAAGAAAAUAUAAUAAUAAUUUUGGGCAGGUCGUCUUUCUUUACUGUAUUGGAUGGAUAUAGAAUCAAUAAAUCUAUAGGUUUAUCCCAUUUUUCUGAACAAAUUUAGAGGUCAAAGAUGAACCCUCAAGGGGACAGAAUAUGACCAGCAGGACUAUUGAUAUCGUCUGCCCUAGGCACUCCUCCUUACCCUCCUCUCCCCUAUAUUUUGGGGGCAGUCAUAUUCCUCAGCAGUCAGUUGCUCUGCCUCCAGUCCUAACUGGCUUCUGAAAAACAGUUCUGGUCCAUUCAUUCCCUGUCUCGAGACUUCCGGAGCUUCCUGACCUGUGAAUGAAAUCCACAGGCCCAUCACAAGAUGGCUGCGCUCUCCAGUCCCCGGCACCCCAGGCUGCUCUGAACAUGUGAGAGCUCCUCCCUCAAGGCCUGAAUUUUCGCAGGUCUUCAUCACACUCAGCCCGCCAUCAUUUUUUCAGAUUCAGUUCCAAUAUGUCACUCUGUCUGUAGAGCCUUCCCUGAAUCUCACAGACAAAUGCGGCAGUUCCCUUUGUGGGGGAUAUUCAUCAUGUUUUUCCUCAUUGGCCUAUGUUUUUGCCUCUUCUUGUAGAUGUCCAUCUAGGCUGGGAGCUCCUAGGGGGUAAACGCAGCCUCUCACUCACCUGGCACAGAGUCGAUGCUCAUGGAAUGAUACGUGAUGGGGAGAGUGAGUAAGUGAAUGAAUGAAUGAAUGCUAUUCUGGAAGGAAGAGGGAGAGAGGGAGCAGGGAAAGGUCAGAAGGGGGCCCAGAGUCUUCAGCACACAAUGUGGGUGUAUCACUGUGGCCAGGAACAAUUCGCUUCUCUGCCUGCAUUACUUUUUGGGAAAUGGGAGAGCUGAGGCUCAGUGUAGGCAAACUGGGUCCAGUCAGCAGGGAAGCCAUGAGCUCCACGGUUUAGGGGAGGAGUCCGGUGCUUAAGGAAGCUAUCACGUGGAAGAUCUCCCUGCCCUCCUCCUAUUGGUCUGUAUUGGUUUUUCUUCUUCACCAGUGGAGGCUUUUCUUCUCCCAGGAAGAAUCCAGAAUAGUUCAGACAAGCUUCAGGUCCGCCAGAACCGGGGAAAACAACGUGUAGGGUUUGUUUUAAAGGGCUUUUAAAUGGGGUUUGGGAGAUCCAGGUAGAUUAGAAUCUUGACUCUGCACUGGCUGUGCAAGACAGAAAUUCACCUUUCAAAACUUCUGUUCCCCAGUCUAUGCGGUAAGAAGUUUAGAUUAGCUGAUUUCUAGGGAGAUUUUGGGCAGGCAUGAUUCAGUUCCAUGAAGGGCUGUGGGACAGGACUGCACUAAGAGGUCCUAUAGAUUGGAUUCUUCAGUUCCCUCCCUUCCGCUGGAGAAUAGAGGAAUCUGCCUUCGCUGCACACUAGAUUUACCUGGAGAACAAAUGGAAAGCAGGCCAGGAUCCUGGGUGAAAUGUGGCACAUUUGAGGAGACUUCAACUUCCCUUGCCCUCCAGUGUGGUCUUUUCCCCACCCCCAGACAUGAAAGGGAAGCAGGUCACAAAGCCUUUCGGAUUAUAAAAGAAACACUUGCUUCUCACAAGGGGAGCAGCAGACUUACUCUGUACUAAAUGCCAGGAUAAGCCUCUGGCUGGGCCUCGACUGUGACCCUCCGGCCUCUUUCUACAGCUCUGCCUGGAUGGACUGGCCUAUCUCUGCUGGAUUCCCGAAGUGCAUUGUGUAGAGACAGCAACUCAGGUCAGGCUAAAAGCUCAAGCAAGCAAGCGCGCACACACACGCGCGCACACACACACACACACACACAAACACUCAGCUUCCUUAGGACAAGAUAAAAUCUUAGCAUUCCCCUCUCCCCGAUUAGGUAGGUCUCUGGGAGGACUAAGGCUUCAGGUGCAAGGCUCAGAUAACCUGCAGUGUCUCUCCAACUCUGGGAUGACAAAGACCUCACUUCCCUUUUCUGGUGUUCACACAACAAUGAGAAAGUACGGGUAGCCUGCAGAAAGACCUCUCCAUUCAUGGUCCCCCAGGGGUGUGGGUUCUGAGAGGUGGGACCAGCUGCCAGGCCCUUUCUCCAUUGGUUGAGUUCAGCAGGUAACCUGAAGCUUUGCUGAGAGGUGCAUAAAUAAAGAGUGAAACUAGUACCACCUCCUUGAAAUGGGCUGAGUCCCUCUUGCUCACCCUUGACUUGGAAAAACCAGUUUCUCUUUUAUUGUCUGUUACUAAUCUCUAUUCUAAAAAUUCAGCUCAAUUCUCAACCAUACUCCAAACUCUCUCUUUUCCAGCUACCUUUACUCCCUCUCCUUCAAUUCCACUUUCCUCUGCUUACUUUUUUUUUUUUUCUGACAGGGUCUCACUUUGUCGCCCGGGCAGGAGUGCAGUGGCUCAAUCUUGGGCUCACUGCAGCCUCAACCUCCCAGAGGCGGGGUUUCACCAUGUUGCCCAGACUGGUCUUGAACUCCUGAGCUUAAGCAAUCCACCUGCCUCGGCCUCCCAAAGUGUUGGGAUCACAGGCGUGAGCCACCGCAUCCGGCCUCAUGUUCUUUUUCAUUAAAGAGAGAAAUCAACUAUUCAGGACCGGCCCCCACCUUUCCUCAGGAGUCAUUUCUGUUCCGCACAGGCCUGCUGAACUGGGUGCUUUAUAUAGGACACUGUCAUCUCUCAAGUACCCAUCUUGGAGGGUACGGACCCCACAUGAGGGUGAGGCUCUCUGCACACUCCAGAAAAGGACCAACCACACCGAGCUCAGUUAUGGCACACACAGUGGGACCUAGACAAAGGGAGAGGGUGACCGACAUCCCAACUAGAUUUCAGUGGAGUGAAGUUCAGGAGGCAUGGAGCUGACAACCAUGAGGCCUCGGCAGCCACCGCCACCACCGCCGCCGCCACCACCGUAGCAGCAGCAGCAGCAGCAGCAGCAGCAGCAGCAGCAGCAAGAGUAACUCUGACUUAGGAAUAGAGACAGCCAGAGAGAAAUGUGAUCAAUGAAGGAGACAUCUGGAGUGUGCGUGCUUCUUCAGAGGGACGGGUGAUGGGCAGAUUGGAAAAAGCACCGCAGAUGGGAACCUUAAUCUUUCUUUUCUAAAAUUGAUGCUAUGAAAAUUUGCGUUUUCUGUAACUUGUAAAAACUAAAAGUUGCUUGUCUACUGAAAAGCCUCUCUGCCUCUAUGUUUUAUACCAUCGGAUGCCAACUCCCGGCCUUCUAAGCCACCUCCCCUUUAGGCUAAAACUGAGACAUGAACUUGAAAAAUUGACACUGGCUUCCUCUCUCUUUAGGGUCCCCAGGCAGGUGGCUGGGACACUAUUUGCAAUCAGCAAGGAACCCUGCUGCCCUUAGACUCCCCACAGAGCAAGCAGAACUUGCAGAAUGGGGUAAAAACACUCUAUUAAAGAUUUUUUAAACCUAUUUAUAUUGUAAUAAAGUAAAUGUAAAUAAAAUUUAAGUGAAGGCAGAUUGCAGAUAUUUCCGAUGCUAUACAAGAUAUAUCUCAUAGUAUGGGUGUAGAUUCUGCAAAGGUUAAUGCAGUUAAACAUAUUUGACACAUAAAAAUGUCAGAUCCAACAUUAAUCAUUCACCAAUUGUAAUUGCCUUUCUAUGGGUCUCUUCUCCCCAAGACAUAGCUUAAAACACCAGGCUCGGUAGAAAUCUGGGAGGAAAAAAGCAAAUAAUACCUCUCAGCUGUCAGGGUCUAUGAUACGCUUUGAUAGAUUUAGCACUGAUUUCAUUCUCUUUACAAUUCAGUGUGAUUGGGUGUGCGUGUGUGUGUGUGUGUGUGUGUGUGUGUGUGUGUGUGUUACUCCAUGUUUCUCCUUUUUAAGGAAGGAGAAGGUGUGGAACAAGAGAAAGUUCCUAAGUCUGAAGGAAGUCCAACCCAGUUAUGAAGGGAAUGCCAUCCACAAGCCUUUUUUAUAAUUGGCCCCUGCCUCAGGUAAAGGGGUCUCCUUUAAGGAGCCAGUCUGGCUAAAUUGGCAGAUUCUGAACAAAGCCUGGCCCUGACAAGUCUUCAGAAAAACCGGUUUUCACCUCCAGAAUGUGCCCCAG